UCCCUGGUGGCUCAGAGUAUAAAGCAUCUGCCUCCAAUGCAGGAGACCCAGGUUCAAUUCCUGGCUUGGGAA